AGAGUUUGAUCAUGGCUCAGGACGAACGCUGGCGGCGCGCUUAACACAUGCAAGUCGUACGGGGUUGUUCCUUCGGGAGCAGCUCAGUGGCGAACGGGUGCGUAACACGUGGGCGACCUGCCGAGGCGCGGGGGACAACCGAGGGAAACUCAAGCUAAUACCGCAUAACAUCCCGUUGGGAUCAAAGCUUUAUGUGCUCAAAGAGGAGCCUGCGGCAGAUUAGCUAGUUGGUCAGGUAACGGCUUACCAAGGCAAUGAUCUGUAUCCGGUCUAAGAGGACGGUCGGACACACUGACACUGAAUAUACGGGUCAGACUCCUACGGGAGGCAGCAGUCGGGAAUUUUGGGCAAUGGGCGCAAGCCUGACCCAGCAACGCCGCGUGAAGGAAGAAGUCUUUCGGGAUGUAAACUUCGAAAGAAUGGGAAGAAACAAAUGACGGUACCAUUAUUAAGCCCCGGCUAACUCCGUGCCAGCAGCCGCGGUAAUACGGAGGGGGCAAGCGUUGUUCGGAUUUACUGGGCGUAAAGGGCGCGUAGGCGGUUUUGUAAGUUACUUGUGAAAUCUAUGGGCUUAACCCAUAACGGCCAAGUAAUACUGCGAGACUCGAGUGCAGAAGGGGCAACUGGAAUUCUUGGUGUAGCGGUGAAAUGCGUAGAUAUCAAGAGGAACACCUGAGGCGAAGGCGGGUUGCUGGGCUGACACUGACGCUGAGGCGCGAAAGCUAGGGGAGCAAACAGGAUUAGAUACCCCAGUAGUCC
rnacentral:rRNA from 1 species